UACGAAGGGGGCAAGCGUUGUUCGGAAUUACUGGGCGUAAAGGGCGCGUAGGCGGCUUAUCAAGUCAGGCGUGAAAUUCCCGGGCUCAACCUGGGGGCUGCGCUUGAUACUGAUUGGCUUGAAUGCGGGAGAGGAUAGUGGAAUUCCCAGUGUAGAGGUGAAAUUCGUAGAUAUUAGGAAGAACACCAGUGGCGAAGGCGGCUCACUGGCCCGGUACUGACGCUGAGGCGCGAAAGCGUGGGGAGCAAACAGG
rnacentral:rRNA from 1 species